rnacentral:sRNA from 1 species
CACUAGCCCCGAUAGGAACGGCAUCCUUUUGUGGUGGCGUGAGGCGACGGAGCGUAGCGGAGUCGUCCGAGCGACACUACAAAAGAUAUAGUGGAUAGCGGGAAAAAGC